GGUCUCCUAGCACUGCUGGCCGGUUGCUGUAGAGUUCCGCGCCUUGCCAGAGUUGGGUGCUUCCGGCUGCUCGCCAAGGGGCUGCUCCCUUCUCCCUGCACCGCCGGCCGGGGUAGGUAGUGGUGGGGGUGCCGGACUGUACUGUAGGCUUCUUGGGAGGGGAGUGCGGAGCCCCCCGCACUGCGUACGGGUUCGGGACUCGGACACCUAGAAAGGCUCGCUUGCCCCUCCGAAGCUCCAAGGCGCGGAACCAAAACCCCCGCCCGGCCACUACCACAGGCUCUACAAGACGAGUUCGGAGUCGCUUGCCGAGUCUGAAAGAGCGCUGGGGACGCUUGGGACAGAAGCGAGAUUUAGAGGCCGAAGAGUAGAGUAUCAGUCAUGAAAACCAGACCUGUCCCCCGCGGUCCGCUACUUUGCUUUCCCACGUUUGUCCUGCUUGAGUUAUCCUAGGUUGUCUGGUAAAUUUGUUUCCCUAAGUUUUGCUGUGGCCUGGUUCAAGUUCGCUUGGGUUCUGGAACAUGAGACGGAAGGUGGACGGUCCUGGAUAAUCUUUGUUCUGUAGAUUUCUGCUGUCCCGGCUCCGUGGGGGCAGGGGUUCUCCUAAGGAUCUCUCCCAGAGCAUCUCAAAUUCUGGGUGGGGGUGUGGCCAGCUUUGAUAUGAGAUGCCCUGUGCUUAUUUAGAGACAAGACACAGUGCACUGAACUGAGAGUAAGACUCCUGGCUCAGCCUAGGAACAGCUGUAAGACUCUGAAUAGUAACUUUUUUUUUUUUGUCCCCCAGUUUCCACAUUAGUAAAACAGGGUAUCUUUCAUCUGAGUAUGAGGCCUCUGUUGACUGUCAUUUUCCACCCUAGUCUAUCCAUUUUGGAAUUUUAGACAAGGCCUAGAUUACUCUCAAACUUAAGGACAUUCUCCAGCCUCAACCUCCCAAGUGGUGGGAUUAAAGUUAUGAGCCACUACUCCCAGCCCCCACAUAUUAAUGUUUCACUUGACCAAAUUCUUCUUAUCCU
rnacentral:lncRNA from 1 species